GACGUAGGGGGCCAGCGUUGUUCGGAAUUACUGGGUGUAAAGGGUUCGUAGGCGGUGCGGCAAGUUGGGAGUGAAAUCUCUGGGCUUAACCCAGAGGCUGCUUCCAAGACUGCUGUGCUUGAGUGUGGGAGAGGCGCGUGGAAUUGCAGGUGUAGCGGUGAAAUUCGUAGAUAUUGGGAAGAACACCAGUGGCGAAGGCGGCUCACUGGCCCGUAACUGACGCUGAGGUGCGAAAGCGUGGGGAGCAAACAGG
rnacentral:rRNA from 1 species